GUUUUCCUUUUAAUCUUUAUAUUGAGUCUACACUCUUUUUGGCUGUGAGGUUAAAAAAGGGGCACACAUGUGAGAGUAAAGCUAAAGUGUUAAAAAUGAAAAAAUAGUGAAAGAAUGUGAGUAAGGGAAUGGGAAGUAUUUGCACCACUGAGCAUACCCCCAAUCAUAUUCUGACAUUGUAAAACAAAAGAAAAUAAUUUCGCCCUGAGUUGGUAAUAACUGUGAAGGGUUGAGACAAAGCUAAG
rnacentral:lncRNA from 1 species